rnacentral:misc_RNA from 1 species
GUUUUCUUGGGAUCUUCAAGAGGCUUAACAAAUAAAAAGUAAUGUUUUCACUUAGAUCCUCCCCAAAUAUUCAUGAUUAAAAAACAAAUUUUAUCUACGUAGAAUGAGGAGUUGACAAAAGGACAGAUAGACAUGCAAAAAAUUGAGUUGUAUUACAAGCACAAAUGGCAAGAAGAAUCACCAUCUACCAAUUCAGUUACGCAGUUAACUGGAGGAUCCAUGCAAAGAGAGGAAGAUAAUCAAAUGAAACAAUAGAAAACAGUACACCAUAGUGGCAAAGAUGACAGAUUUGCUUAAAUUUUUCUUUUCUUUUUUAUAUAAAUUAAAAAAAACAAAAAGAAAACCAGUAAAGUUUAUUAGUUCAAGCAUGCACAUAAAUUGAGAAGAAUUUUCAUAAGGAAUUUAGCUAAAUGACUAAGUUAGAAUAAAAAAGGAAUUAUCAGCUCAUUCCCAAAUGACUUCAAACAUAUAGUAGACUAGCCUAAUAGCAAUAGCAUUCUCAUAGAUACACACCGCAUUAGAAGUGAAUUUGUGGCCACAUGCAAAUUGUGGAAAAAUAUGAGCAAUAGAUUUUCACUGUAAACAGAGAAACAAGGCAAAUUAAACUUAAUUAAUCAGGCUCCCAGACAUGUCAAACCCCUCCCUCCAGACUGCUGUAAUCCAACAAAUGCAGUGGAGAAUUAACAGUCAAUGACACAGAAAUUAUGUAUUAAAAGGAAAACUACAAAAAUCUGUAGAAAAUAGAAAAUGACAGAAGGUUGAGGCACAUCAUGAGACAUAAGAGACUAAAAAGAAAAAAUGAUAACAUGUAUGAGAUAACUACAACUGUUCUUGAAAAAUCAACAUACCGUGCUUCCAAACCCAAUAUAUAU